rnacentral:rRNA from 1 species
UACAGAGGGUGCAAGCGUUAAUCGGACUUACUGGGCGUAAAGGGCGCGUAGGCGGAUACGUAAGUCAGAUGUGAAAGGCCAUGGCUUAACCAUGGAAUGUCAUUUGAGACUGCGAGUCUAGAGUCGAAGAGAGGGAAGCGGAAUUUCCGGUGUAGCGGUGAAAUGCGUAGAUAUCGGAAGGAACACCCGUAGCGAAGGCGGCUUCCUGGAUUCAGACUGACGCUGAGGCGCGAAAGCGUGGGUAGCGAACAGGAUUAGAUACCCUGGUAGUCCACGCUGUAAACGAUGAGUACUAGCUGUUGUUGUGCAAGACAUGACGGUAGCGAAGCUAACGCGAUAAGUACUCCGCCUGGGGAUUACGGCCGCAAGGCUAAA